rnacentral:ncRNA from 1 species
CCGAUCUGGAGAGAGGUCUUGAAUGACCCGCCGAAGGGGCACGCGGUUGUACCGCCAAACUCUCAGGCAAAAGGACAGCGGGA